rnacentral:lncRNA from 1 species
ACAUAUAACUGAGAAUUGUUGCUAGGAAACACAUAACUCCAAGUUCCAGCUCUAGAAUCCGGAAACAUGGCUUAACACAAUAUCUGACUUUAAGGGAGUUGCUUUCCCAGUGUCUGGGAUUAAGAGAUGAUGUUUGAAUUUCCACUUAGGAAUCAAUCCUCUAUUCAUCACUUGCUCUUCUCACACAGAAAUGAAGACAUAUACACCCAAACCUACAGGAAGUGAGAUGAUGCAGAAAAUCAGGACCCAGAAUAAGCACUUGCCAAUUUCCUCCCAGGUGGCUAUAUGGAAGUUUGUCUCUGGAAAACCAAAUUUUUGGACAUGUCAUCAGUAAAGGCGACUUGGAAACACAGUGACUGUUGUUGGCUCUCAUAUCUGACAUCUGAGGUUGAAUGCAGAUUAGAGGUAUGAUUUAAAUGUACUUUAAAGCACUUGUACUUUUUUAAUGUCCUAUAUAAAUAAUUAGUAACACAUGUCAUCUUAUUUUCAGUUUAAAACUUAAAAUACAGUAUUCUGAAAUUCC